rnacentral:rRNA from 1 species
UACGGGGGGAGCAAGCGUUGUUCGGAUUUACUGGGCGUAAAGGGCGCGUAGGCGGCGCAACAAGUCACUUGUGAAAUCUCCGGGCUUAACCCGGAGCGGCCAAGUGAUACUGUCGUGCUAGAGUGCGGAAGGGGCUACUGGAAUUCUCGGUGUAGCGGUGAAAUGCGUAGAUAUCGAGAGGAACACCUGCGGCGAAGGCAGGUAGCUGGGCCGACACUGACGCUGAGGCGCGAAAGCGUGGGGAGCAAACAGG